AAAGAAAUGCCCAGAAAGCACCGGCGAGUUGCAGGAGAAGGGUGACAACACAGUCUGCAGCGAGAACAGAGAGUUCGCAGAGCCUGGGUGUGUGCCUGCUUCCAUUCCCGCCCACCCACAGUUUCUGGGGCAAACAAAUUCUUGGCUGAGCAGACGCGCGAAGAGGUUAAGUGACUCACCCAAGGACCAAGGGCCGGGUGGUGCACCCAGGAAAUGUUCCCUGGCUUUCUGGCCAGAAGAGGUCACUCCCCAGUUUGUACUCAAAGGUACUUUGUUCUUUCUUCUUCUACACAAAUUCAUUUUCUGA